CAGGUUAGUCAGAGGUUCUCUACAGGUUAAUCAGAGGUUCUCUACAGGUUAGUCAGAGGUUCUCUACAGGUUAGUCAGAGGUUCUCUACAGGUUCUCCAGAGGUUCUCUACAGGUUAGUCAGAGGUUCUCUACAGGUUAGUCAGAGGUUCUCUACAGGUUCUCCAGAGGUUCUCUGCAGGUUAGUCAGAGGUUCUCUACAGGUUCUCUACAGGUUAGUCAGAGGUUCUCUACAGGUUCUCCAGAGGUUCUCUACAGGUUAAUCAGAGGUUCUCUACAGGUUCUCUGGUUCCUCAUAGCCCUGUUCCUUGGAAGGUUCUCUAAAGGUUCUCCAUGUUUCUUCUCUGCUUUGUCAUCUGUUGUGGAGAACACCAGGGGUCUGUUUCAUGAAGCAGGUUUAACAAACUGAGUUUAAUCCUGAACUCUGAGUUGAUCUAUUCUGAGACAGAAACUCUGAGUUUUCGGUUCCACAGCGGCUGGUUUGAGUUGGUUUAAUGAACUUGGAGUAGUUUCACUGGGAGUUAAGCGCGUGCACCACACCUCUGAAAAGACAGCAUCAAUGGAUCUGAAGACGUGUGUCCAUCCAUCCUCUAUACACCGCUUUAUCCUCACUAGGGUCAUGGGGGGUGCUGGAGUCUAUCCCAGCUGACUCUGGUGAAGGCAGGGGACACCCUGGACAGGUCACCAGUCUGUCACAGGGCUACAUAUACAGACAGACAAUCACACUCACAUUCACACCUACGGACAAUUAGAGUAACCAAUUAACCUCAGCAUG